rnacentral:lncRNA from 1 species
GGGGCGAGCGCGCUGUGGCUGGAAGGGGAGCUGCGGGGCGCGGAGGUCGGCCCGGGUGCCGCCAGGCGGUCUCCGCCGGGUGAGUGGGAGAGAGGGCUGGGUGGGCGGGCGGCGGGCAGCCACUAGCCUGGGGCAGAGGCGGCUGCUCAGGUGCGGCCUGCGGCACCCCCGCGCCUCCUCCCGCGGCGCCGCCGCCCCUUCUCCGCUCGGCCGCAGGAGCCUGGGCUGGAACUCCUUUUGCCUGCCAAGACUGCACACAUGGAGCCUAAUUAAAAGCGUCGUCCGCGGGGUGGGAGGGGGUUGGAGAAAUGUUGGCGAUGGGGGAGAAAGGGUGCCAACCUCUCCUCCCCACUGCACCUCUACCUCCAAGCUGUCCCUUCCCUCUGCUUCCGGAGACCGGAGACCGCUAAUUUGGAAACCUUAUCCUCUUCGACCAGAGGCUGCAGGAAAAUUCCUCGUGCUUCUGCUGGCCCAGUAUGUGCCACAGCAGCCUCACACCUACAGCAAUUGUACUCCCAGCCAGGGUGGGGUCCCAGGAGAUGGACCUGAUUGCCUGCUAAGGAGAUCUCCGACCCUAAGGACACGUCUCUGCUUCUCCUACGGUAGAAGCCUGGAAGCAGAGGCCCUCACUCCUCUUCCUGGAAUCCCCACAGGGUCAAACUGGCCCCUGCAGGUUUGUUGUCACAAAUUUGGGUUUGCACAUUUCCCAGGACUAGGGAAUCUGGAAAGGAGCUCUUAAAAAGAUGCUCUACAACAAGUAGGCCAGGGUUCUCAGGAGAGCCCAAAGCAAUGAUCAGAUAUUACUUUGUUGAGCUUCACAAUAAACCCUGGUAGAGGAUUUAGGAUUUAGGAUUUUGAUGCAGAGAAGGUCAGUAUCUCGCCUGAGGUCACACAAUUCUAUGCAUAUUUUGAUUUUCCUACAUAGAUUUAGCUUUCUGCCUUCCCAGUUGGUCAACUCAGUUUUCCACAUUGAUAGAUUUUAGCAUUGUUUUAAAUCAGGCAUUCUUAACCAGGGUCUCAGGGAGUUUGUUGGAAGGGGAUUUUUGAAGCUCUUGAAAUUAUAUGCAAAAUUUUUAUUGCAUUUUUCAGAGUAAAAAUAGCAUUCUUCAAAUUCUCAAACUGCCAACUUUUUAGUAUCAUCAAUCUUCAUAAUUUGAAAUUGAAAAUUUAACCAAACAUCUGUUGGAUUUGGUAAAAGUGGUUUUGUACAUGCAAUUGUUAAGUCUAGGCUAUAAACUGCGCACUGGAUAUUUAGAAGAUUUGCCCCAACACAUUCUUUUUCUAUUCCUGCAUUAGGAAUACCUGCUGAGAAUCAUACUACCUAGUGCUGAAUCCACUUUGACCACUUACUAGCUGUGUACAUUUGGGCAACUCACUUCACCCCUACUGGGCUUGGUUUCUUCAUCUAUUAAAUGGGAAGCAUAAUGGUACUUGCCUCCAUAGGGUGGGAGUAAAGAGCUCAGAAGGGUGAGCUCUUUACUUACUAAGCAAAUGCUAGCUGCUUUUAUUAUGACUAUCCUCCCCUUACCGCCUACUUCCACUCCUGGGAGGAAUAAAUCACAAGAAAGGCUGUGGAUAAAAAAGACAAAGUGGCAUGCUGGGUAGUCUGAACGAUACCUGAAAUUAAGAAUUAUAUACUUACGAUCAGCACUCAGAAGUCAACAAUUGCCUCUAGUAGAUGGAGUCGGACCACCCAUUUAAUUACAAAUUGCAAUACCCACUAAUUUCACAUGAAAGGACGAGGUGCAACCUGUACCCUUUACAGUGCCAAUGGGAGGCAGGUUGCAUGUGAAUACAUGGGAGGAAGAAGCAAGAAGACUGUCCUUUUGAAUGCCAACAACUCCUUAAUGUCUAAGCUGUGACUUUUGCAGAUCAGAAGCUGCACAGCAACAUACACUGGGCAAUCCUGGGGGGAGAGGAAGGUGGAUCUGGUUUCCAGAUGUGAGAGGGACACCCCAGACUUCUGGUAAGGAAGUUUGGCUUUCAUCAGCUGUGCAAAGCAUCAAGUUCAAGUCAACCGGAGCCAGAGAGGGAGAAGGGCAGGACUGUAGAAAGACAAAAGCCCCUUCCACCAGAGUCUGCUGUAACCAGCCCCUCCACGGAAGGCUCCAGCCCUAAUGAAUCCCGGCUGUUCACCUACACGACAAGCAAUAACGUUCUGCCUGCUGGUCUGGCUCAGCUCCAUUCCCUUUCCACAGGGAGCCAGGCAAGGGGGUAGGUGAAUCUGUGCUUCUUUCAUGGCCACAUUCUUCCCGCUCUAUGUCAUUCUUGAUGCAAGUUGCUGAAAGCCUGGAAGCUUCCCUCCUUCAUAGUCAAUGUGCUCCUGAAUCACUGGGAGAAACCUGUUUUUGACUUCCAAAUAUAUAUUUAUAAACAUCAAUUAAAAUAAAACCAUGUUGUCUGCUAUGCAACUAAUCUGCAGAGCUUUACAAAGAACACUGGCCAAAAAAAUUUACCACCAUCCAAGUGGCUAGAUCAAGAGUUAUAGGCAGUUGAGCCAUUGUGGCAGGAAGAUUGGAAGGAAACACAGAGUAGAAUAACUCCAAGAGAAGGCAGUGGGUGUAGUGGAACAAAAAGGCACUAUGACCAGACAGACCCCAGUAUGGAUUGAGGUUCUACUAUCUACCAGUUGUGUGAACUUGCUGGGCAAGUUGA